AAGAAAAAUACAAACCUUUAUCACCAAAUUAGAGGGACGGAAGAAAAAAGGAAAAAACUGAACAACUAUAGUUGAAACCAAGAAUCCAACAUUCAUCAGACCUGCAGACCUGCAGUGUAUCUCACUCCAGUUGAUGGCAACCACAAGUUUCCUUCAAUGAAUUGGGCAACUGUGAAAUUAUUGGCCUGAUUGGAAGUAUUGAAAAUAUGAUACCCAGGCCAUUUGACCCUGUUAGCUAGCCCAGCUCCUGGCCCAUAAUUCAAGUACUCACCGUAAUGCAAAGUGUCCAAAUACUGAUCACCACUCCACUCCAGCCAUCCUUGUGGCCUUAUAACAUCACUCAUGUAGGAUUGCAUAACAACAGUUCUUGAAAAAUUUUUCCAGGGUCUACCAAGAUAUGUGUAUGUGGAGUUGGUGUAAGGCAAAAGAUCAAUAUCUGCUGAGAUAUUGCAAAAUUGGAUGGAGAAUCCAGUUGGUUCAUUUGGGUCCUUGCGUCCUUGAGCUGUUAUAGUAUUCUUCUGGUUUGAUAGGCCUUUCUUGGCUAGAAUCUGGCAGUUUUGAAAGACAGCAGUUGCAUCACCAAAAAUGAAGUCUACAGUCCCACUAAUACGACAUUCCCUGUAGAAUUGUCUCAUUGUAUGAGUGUAGAGUGUAUCUUGAUAUCCCUUAAUUUCACAUCGAAAGAAGACUGAUAGAUCAGAAUCGGAUCGGAGAGCCACUGCUUGGUGCUUUGCAGCACCUGCAGUGUUCUCAAAAGUAAUGUCUCGAGCUAUGAAUCCUCUCCCACUAACAGCAAAGGUUGCUGAGCGAAAGGUGGUCCAACCGUCAAUGACACUCCUGUCGCCAGAAAUUACUGUGGCACCCAUACCAUCACCAACCAUCAUUAGAUUCCAUUUCUUCUUCUUGAUCUCCACAUAUUCAUUAUAAAAACCCUUCUUAAUGUAUAAGACGUAGCGACGCAUGCUAUAAUCAGGUGCUGCUGAUACUGCAUCCAUUAUCUUUGUGAAAUUUCCAGUUCCAUCUGCUGCAACUAUAGCAUUAGGGGUCGCUCCAUUUAUCACUAACAAUUUACGGUCCUCGUGCUUAAUCCAUGAAGGGAAUUUAUCAUUUUUGGCACUUUUGCUGCCAGUGAAGGCAACUCCAUUGGUUUUAGAAUUACGUUUUGAGUCCACCUUACUGAGAAGCUCCUGGACUAAUGAAGUGAUCUGGUUAAGACCACCUGCCACUAGGCUUCUGAGAAUGCUACUGGUGCCUUCAAAUCCAUCAAUGCAUGUGUCCUGAUUAACAAGUGCAGCACUUAACCAUGUCCUUAAAUCAGAAUUAAGAUCACCAGUGCUGUUAUUUUUACCCUUAGGAUUCUGGGAGGCAGACAUGGUCCAGCUCAACUCAUCAGCGGAGAAGUCCAGUAAGUCUAGACAAUCAGUUAUAGCAUUGGAGAGACGAAAGUCACCAAAGAAAUUACCAAAGUUUGAGAUUGUAGAGGUGACAUCUUGUAUAAUAUCAAUAGCGGUUUUCAAAGAGCCCACGAAUUCAGAGAUGGGCACUUUCAAGAACUCAUUUCGCAAAUACUCACUCCUAGUCCUAGAUGAGGCAGCACAAGGAGUAGAAACCAAAAUCAAGACUACAAACAAGGAAAGCAAGAGUGAAGGAAGAGAAAAUCUUGACAUUCUUGCGGGAAACCAAGGGGGUGAACUGAAGUCCCUGAGGAAUGCACAAUAGUGUAAUGAGGAGUAGUGGGACUGAAGCUUGUAAUGAAGGAAGGUGCAUGCAAUUGCAACAUAUAAUGGGGGGAAAGAGGUAGAUGUUAGACGGGCAGGUGGGGCAUUUAAGAAGGAAGUGGUGAAAUGAGUCAAAUCCUGAAUGCGUUAUGGUGUGGACUUUUAUUAUUGUUAUUAUUAUUAUCUUUCAUUGUCGGCGUUGGCCAUGGUUUAGAAUGGCUGUGUUUUUCAAAAACUCCCAAGUAAGCGAUUGGGCGGGGGGCAUCUUGGUAUUUUGUGCUGGCUGGCCCAUUGCUUUUUCUUUCUCGUCCUUGAAACACAGCAAAAGCCUAACCCUUUUGAAUAGCUUCUUCUCUUUGCUUUUUC
rnacentral:misc_RNA from 1 species